rnacentral:misc_RNA from 1 species
UAAAGUGCGAUAUGUAGUGCGAUUUGCAUGAAUCUGUGAGUCAUCUAAUCUUUGAACGCAACUUGCGCCUCUUACGAGGCAUGUCUGUUUGAGUGCCGUAAUCCUCUGCAGCAAUGCGAUUUGACUCUUGUCUUUGUUGACCGAGUUUAAAGGGAGCUAGAGGAUGGUCAGUUUAGACUAGUCCGAGUGCUAAGCAUUCUUGGGUCUAGCGCUGGAUUGCUCAUUUCAUCUACUUUUAUUUUGGCCUCAAAUCAGGCAGGACUACCCGCUGAACUUAA